GACGAACGCUGGCGGCGUGCUUAACACAUGCAAGUCGAGCGACGCUCUUCCUUCGGGGAGAUGACGGAGCGGCGAACGGGUGAGUAACACGUGGGCAACCUGCCCCUAGCUCUGGGACAACACCGGGAAACCGGUGCUAAUACCGGAUACGACAUCGAGCGGCAUCUCUCGAUGUGGAAAGUUUUUUCGGCUAGGGAUGGGCCCGCGGCCUAUCAGCUUGUUGGUGGGGUAAUGGCCCACCAAGGCGACGACGGGUAGCCGGCCUGAGAGGGCGACCGGCCACACUGGGACUGAGACACGGCACAGACUCCUACGGGAGGCAGCAGUGGGGAAUAUUGCGCAAUGGGCGAAAGCCUGACGCAGCGACGCCGCGUGAGGGAUGACGGCCUUCGGGUUGUAAACCUCUUUCAGCAGGGACGAAUUCAGACGGUACCUGCAGAAGAAGCACCGGCCAACUACGUG
rnacentral:rRNA from 1 species